CCUACGGGGCGCAGCAGUCGGGAAUAUUGCGCAAUGGAGGAAACUCUGACGCAGUGACGCCGCGUAUAGGAAGAAGGUUUUCGGAUUGUAAACUAUUGUCGUUAGGGAAGAUAAAAGACUGUACCUGAGUAAGAAGCCCCGGCUAACUACGUGCCAGCAGCCGCGGUAAUACGUAGGGGGCAAGCGUUAUCCGGAUUUACUGGGUGUAAAGGGAGCGUAGACGGCGAAGAAAGUCUGAAGUUGAAGCCCGCGGCCCAACCGCGGAACUGCUUCGGAAACUUUUUUGC
rnacentral:rRNA from 1 species